AGUGAACGCUGGCGGCGUGCUUAACACAUGCAAGUCGAACGAGAACGGAAUAUAGCUUGCUAUAUUUGUCAGCUAAGUGGCGCACGGGUGAGUAAUGUAUAGAUAACCUGCCCUUAAGAAAGGAAUAACAGUUGGAAACGACUGCUAAUGCCCUAUAUGCCUUUAAUACAUAAGUAUGCAAGGGAAACGCUUUAGUGCUUAAGGAUGGGUCUGUAUGGUAUCAGCUUGUUGGUGAGGUAAUGGCUCACCAAGGCUAUGACGCCUAACUGGUUUGAGAGGAUGAUCAGUUACACUGGAACUGAGACACGGUCCAGACUCCUACGGGAGGCAGCAGUGAGGAAUAUUGCACAAUGGACGAAAGUCUGAUGCAGCAACGCCGCGUGGAGGAUGACACAUUUCGGUGCGUAAACUCCUUUUAUAUAGGAAGAUAAUGACGGUACUAUAUGAAUAAGCACCGGCUAACUCCGUGCCAGCCGCCGCAGUAAUAC
rnacentral:rRNA from 1 species